rnacentral:misc_RNA from 1 species
CACGCACCGAAUCACCAACGUACCUAGAACGGUGACGGUGCGCCUUGUGCAGGAAAUGCGGACGGCCGACUCUCAGGCUACCUCCCUCCCUUUCCUGCGUACCUCCUGCUCUCCCCCCUAAGCCGGCAGGUGAGCGCGCCGGUCCCUGCGGAUGCAUUCGAAUACGCGCAAGUCCAUCAUUACCACAUUCCAUUGAUCCCCGACUUCGCUGCAUACCUCUCACGUCGUAGGCAGUGUGCCAGACUGGAGUAUUCCAUCUCCGGCUGUGGUUGCUUGAUGGUGCAGAGGUAGGCUAGGGGUCGGUGCGCAUGCGCUGAGUUGCAAUGGGCUGAUUGCGGGAAAGCAGCUGUGCAUGGGCAUUCUCGUGCAUGGCCAAGCGUCGCGUGGCCUCAUGCUCCCGCGGCUCCAGACGGAUUACGCCAGCUGCCAAUGGCACCUAAUGAGCACCGAAGACCGGGGGAAAGGAGAACGUCCUACUGCGCACAUGGAGAUUGUUAGUGUGGAUGGCCCAAUCACCAUGCUGCUGAGGGAGGAGGUGCAGGUGUCGGAGGAGUGCAUCCGUCGCCUGGAGGGUGGUCCAUAGCACCUGCUGGGAGACGAAGCGGAUGCUGACAUGGGGCGAGUGGCAGCGGGUCUGGGAGGACAUGGAUGACGCCGUCUCUGAGGAGCUCCAUCGCGGAACGACACACCCACGGAGGAAUAUCUGCGGGCACUCUUCCGCAUUUCCCUCCUCCGUGCUCGACCUGUGGAAUGCACGCAAGGCGUCGCUGCAGGGCAGACAUAGCGUGUACCGGCUCAUUCUGCUAGUGGCAUCGACUGCCGAGCGGACGGAUGCAGCGCAGGCAGCGGCGCAAGCAACCACGGCGCCUUCCGCUGCGAACGGCCCUCAGCUCCAAUUCGUCGACGCCGUGCUCCCCGGCGCGACGGGGAUGCCAGCGCCGCCCAGCGAUCCCUGGCCCGGAGAGCUUAACUUUCCAAAUCGUUAAAAUCAGCGCGUACACGGCAGACACAUGCACGAUGCAGACCGUCGUUGUCUUCCUCUCGACGAUCUACGGCGCCGCAUUCGACGGGCGCGACAUGACGCCACCAGAGAACCACAACACUGCGCUGGCCUUGGCGAGGGCUUUCGACAGCCUCCUCAACUCCGGCGUGGCUCUCGCGCGUGCUCACCCUCUGCAGCGCAAGUUCCCGGGACGAGCGGACGAUGGACCCCGUGGCCCUGAUGUGUUUAACCGCGAGGAGGAGCACGAGACGGGGGGAGGGGCACGGUAGGAAGGAGAGCACGCACCCGCAGAGCAGCAGGGUGCCGAGGUGCCUCGAUCACGUGUACACCAUCAGCAAAGUCGGGAGGCGGGGACGGCGGAAGCAGACAGAAGGGCCAAAGACGCCAAAUGAAGCGAGCGCAACCUUGCACGCCCCCUCUCACGGCGGACACCACAGUGUACGCCGCCGCACCGGAAUGUAAGCGUCGCGCAGCUUCGUAGCCCCCGGUCGCUUCCCGAGCCGUUGGCAGACAGGCAUGGUCUUCCGAUGGACCCGCACACGUGUGGUCGGAACCUCCAUGCUGUGCGGAAGCUGGACCAGUCGCACCACGGGCUGACGGUGCUGAAGACAGCCGAGAGCAACGGGUGCGUUGGUGCAACUCAACGCGACCCCUAUCCGUGUUGGGCGCCGCUGGCGGGGAGGGCCUAUCGGCUGGGAGCUGUGUCAGUGGGGUGAAGCGUUACGCCCAGAAGCGAUGCAAGCGGUGGCAGCACGAUUGGCUGGUGGCCCCCUGCAACGCCGCGCGACGUGCUAGGCAUGUGCAAGUCGAUGUGUGGGCAGGCCUUAUGCAGAUUGCAGGCACGUGUCGUGCCGUAAAGCAGGCAGCAGGGUCGGUGAUUCAGGCGGCAUGCCGGUUGAAGGUCACUGUCAACCGUGACGAAGCUGAGGUCGCCCCACCUCCCCUCCUCCUCAGGCAUGCGUUCGCAAGGGUUGUUCACGACAGCGAGGCGGGCGAUGUGUGUAAUGGAGGAAAGCCUAUCGGGGAGCGGCACAGGUGGGCUGCAGCGAGCACGCGGCGGCGCAGCAGGCCGCCGACGAUGACCGGUGCGGUGUACGGCCUCUGCACCGACGCGACAUUGGGCGGACGGGGAGCCGCGUGCAUGAAGCGGGCGGCAGAGCAAGCCGGCUUCACGGGCAUGCGAUGGGGCCACGGCCCCGCCGAGCGUUUAGGUGCGGCAGCGCACCGGGCGGUGCCUUCGCGCUCUUUGUGUGGAACUGCAAGGGCCGCCUGAUGCAUCGGCCCACCUUCAUGUGGGUAGCUCGUCUGCCAUCGCUGCUUUCUGAAAGGGCUGCUCACACAGUCAUGCAGUCAACGCGGAACUCCAUGACUGCAUGUCUCCCCUUCCAUGCGUGGCCCAUGGCCCGUUACACACAAGGCGGCGAAACGUCCACCGACAAGCCGAGCAGUGAUCCCGUCUAUUCAGUGCUAAGGGGCACGACUGGCGACACGGGGAGGUACGACAGGAAGCUGGAAGGGCGGGUGGCUCUGCACUCUCGUUCGUACGUAAGCACCGGCAUAUACGCGUACCGAUGUCCUUGUAACAAAGAAGCGCGCUACUUCUGCUAGUGUGGCCCUCUCGUCGUAGCUCACUCUCUCCCUCCCUCCCAACUCUCUCUCCCCCUCUCGACGGCGAAG